rnacentral:lncRNA from 1 species
ACAAACUAUAACCAGUUGCUUCGCAGGGCGCAGCAUUAUACGACCGCAGAUGUAUAACCCUGAACAGAUGGGACAAGUAUGGACACAACUUUUAAGUUUGAUACAGCUUUAAAUGUGGAUUGUGAUUAAAUAGUUGACACAACAUAGGUUUAUGUCACAUUAUGAUUUUGGACCCUUUGGACCUUAAUGUAGGCCAAUUUGAAAACUGGACCAAAAAUUAAAAAUCUACAUACACAGUUAGAUUUGGAAUAUCAAAGAACCCCAUUUAUUCAAUUUUUGAUGAAAUCAAACAAAGUUUAAUUUUCGACCACGAUUUGGACCAACUUGAAAACUGGGCCAAUAAUUAAAAAUCUAAGUACAUUUUUAGAUUCAGCAUAUCAAAGAACCCCAAGGAUUUAAUUUUUGUCAAAAUCAAACAAAGUUUAAUUUUGGACCCUUUGGGCCCCAAAUUCCUAAACUGUUGGGACCAAAACUCCCGAAAUCAAUACCAACCUUCCUUUUAUGGUCAUAAACCUUGUGUUUAAAUUUCAUAGAUUUCUAUUCACUUAUACUAAAGUUAUAAUGUACUGAUUUCAAUUCAAAUUUCUAAUGGAG